GAUGAACGCUAGCUACAGGCUUAACACCUGCAAGUCGAGGGGUAACGAGAGGAAAGCUUGCUUUCCUUGUCGACGACCGGCGCACGGGUGAGUAACGCGUAUCCAACCUGCCCCCAACUAGGGAAUAACCUUGCGAAAGUAAGACUAAUACCCUAUAAUUUCCUCAGAUGCCAUCUGACGAGGAAUAAAGAUUUAUCGGUUGUGGAUGGGGAUGCGUCUGAUUAGCUUGUUGGCGGGGUAACGGCCCACCAAGGCAACGAUCAGUAGGGGUUCUGAGAGGAAGGUCCCCCACAUUGGAACUGAGACACGGUCCAAACUCCUACGGGAGGCAGCAGUGAGGAAUAUUGGUCAAUGGGCGGAAGCCUGAACCAGCCAAGUAGCGUGCAGGAUGACGGCCCUAUGGGUUGUAAACUGCUUUUAUACAGGAAUAAAGUUAGCCACGUGUGGUUAUUUGUAGGUACUGUAUGAAUAAGGACCGGCUAAUUCCGUGCCAGCAGCCGCCGCCG
rnacentral:rRNA from 1 species